GUGUUCCUACGGGGGGCAGCAGUGGGGAAUAUUGCACAAUGGGGGAAACCCUGAUGCAGCAACGCCGCGUGAGUGAAGAAGUAUCUCGGUAUGUAAAGCUCUAUCAGCAGGGAAGAAAAUGACGGUACCUGACUAAGAAGCCCCGGCUAACUACGUGCCAGCAGCCGCGGUAAUACGUAGGGGGCAAGCGUUAUCCGGAUUUACUGGGUGUAAAGGGAGCGUAGACGGUGUGGCAAGUCUGAAGUGAAAGCCCGGGGCUC
rnacentral:rRNA from 1 species